CAGAGUUAUCCAACUCCCAAACCCAUGUGAACUUAUCUCUUGUUGCCUCGGCGCAAGCUACCCGGGACCUCGCGCCCCGGGCGGCCCGCCGGCGGACAAACCAAAACUCUUGUUAUCUUAGUUGAUUAUCUGAGUGUCUUAUUUAAUAAGUCA
rnacentral:misc_RNA from 1 species